rnacentral:rRNA from 1 species
UGGAGCGCAGGGCAAGCGAGCGCGGGAAGACGUGGGGGGCGGGGGGUGGCCGGAUGUAUUGGGCGUAAAGGGGUGGUAGGCGGGCAGGGAGGUCCGUUGUGAAAAAUCGAGGAUCAACCGCGAGACGUGGAUGGAAACCAGCUGGCUAGAGGCCGGAAGAGGAGAGUGGAAUUCCUGGGGUAGCGGUGAAAUGCGCAGAUAUCAGGAAGAACACCUAUGGCGAAGGCAGCUCUCUGGGACGGUACUGACGCUGAGACGCGAAAGCGUGGGGAGCGAACAGGAUUAGAUACCCUGGUAGUC